GAUGAACGCUGGCGGUAUGCUUAACACAUGCAAGUCGAACGGACUCUUCGGAGUUAGUGUCGGACGGGUGAGUAACGCGUGAGAAUCUGGCUUUGGGUUCGGGACAACCACUGGAAACGGUGGCUAAUACCGGAUGUGCCGAGAGGUAAAAGAGAAAUUGCCUGAAGAUGAGCUCGCGUCUGAUUAGCUAGUUGGUGAGGUAAAGGCUCACCAAGGCAGCGAUCAGUAGCUGGUCUGAGAGGAUGACCAGCCACACUGGGACUGAGACACGGCCCAGACUCCUACGGGAGGCAGCAGUGGGGAAUUUUCCGCAAUGGGCGAAAGCCUGACGGAGCAAUACCGCGUGAGGGAAGAAGGCUCUUGGGUUGUAAACCUCUUUUCUUAGGGAAGAACAAAAUGACGGUACCUAAGGAAUCAGCAUCGGCUAACUCCGUG
rnacentral:rRNA from 1 species